GUUAUUACAUUCUUUUGCAACAUUUAUAAAUAAAAACAAUAAAGCUUGUAUUGUGCAUCCGGAUUGCUCCGGAGCGCAUAUUGUCACACAAAGUGCAACAUGAUUUUUGUUAAUGAUCCUUCCGCAGGUUCACCUACGGAAA
rnacentral:misc_RNA from 1 species